UCACCUGUGUAAUUCUCUACAUUGUCCAUUUGUAAGCAAGGCAAGCAGAUAUGGAGGCAAAUACCUUUCUGUGCAAGAAAAGCGAUUUCACCUCUUUCUGCUCUCCUUCCCAGCUCCUCUCUGAAAGUGUCUGCUUCUCUCCAGGUGUCUGGGCAGCCCCUCAAGGAAAGGUAGGACGAUCGCUCCAACACCGAUGCCUUAUCAGAGCCCAAUCCCCCCCAUGCCACAGGGACAGAGAUCUGCUCCUCCAAGCAUCCGUGAACGAAGAGACGUGACUACUAACUCCAAGACAUCCAGGCUACUGAAGGAAAUGCAGAAUCACUUUUUUUAAAAAAAAAAAAUAAUAAUAAUAAAAAAAAAAAAUCGCCUUUAUUUGGCGCAUGGUUCUGGUAUUUUUACCAUGCUUCUGCACAAAAUUGUAUGGUAACGUCACCAAGUUCCCUUAAACUUUCAAGGCAUGUUACUGUUGAUGGCGUCUCUGUUGUGUAUCACACCUUAACGUGUGCAGGAUACACACGCUGGUGCAGUAAACAGCUUGUUAUCACAGCACAGCUCCGUCCUCGUAAGAAAAGCAAGGGCUUAAAAAGCCAAGAACAGCUAUUCCUUUUAAUAUUUAAAUUAAGAUUUUUGUAUUCCUGAGAUGAAAACUCUCAAGGAAAGAAGGCAAUAAACGAAAGAAAAAUCCCUAAAAAAAAAUAAAAUCCUCCGUAUCACGUCAGCUAAAUCCGAGUGCUGCCAGAUCAGUGGUAAGGUCAGAUAUCAUAUUCACCAAAAACAAGAGGACACACAACAGGUUAAAAUGCUACCGUCCGGCAAUGACCAGCUCUAAUCAUACCAAGCCGAUGUGUAAAACCAUCCGCCCGUCCAAAAACAAAUUAGACAACAGUGCUCUCUGGUACUUUAUAAAUACAGAAGAAAGGAGGGCUGUUUUAUUGAAUAUAGCGAACAAACCUUUCCGUCCGGCUAUACCGUGCAGCCCUGCGACUCUGCGUGCACCGAGUAGCCUUAUGCUGCUAAUACAAAAGCUCAGUUUGGCAAUUCCAGGCAUUUUCAGUGUUCAACAUACGCCAAAACUACCCACUCUCUGCCUCUGACUUUGGUCUCGUUCCAAAAGGUCCUUUUUUUUUUUUUUUUUUCUCUUUUCUCUCUCUCUCUCUCGCUACUGCCGGUGCCACGUAGAGACAGGAGAGUUGGGCUCGAACAUGGCCGCAGCCUCCAAAAAAGAGCCAAGUCCCAGCGUCCUGGCUUUCCCCUUCCAGACGGAAAACAAAAUGGCCAUGCAGCAGCCAUUUUGUUUGCUGCGGGAUGGGAGGGAGAAGGGAAGGGAGGGGAGACGCAGGCCAGGCGGGAGUGCGCAGGGAGGAUGGGGGGGGAGAGGGAGGGAGAGGGGAGGGCAUCCAUUCGGCAGGAACCCAAAAGCUCCGCAGUGAUGCCCGGGCGCGCCCUGCCUUCCUCCCGCCGGGGCUGAGCGGCCCUAUCCAGCCCCGCAGCAGGACCGAGGUGGAAGGACAGACAUGGGGUCGGCUUUUCCAGCCUUCCCAGGGCUAAGCUCGAGUUGUCUGGCCGGACAGGGGUUACGCUGCCUUCCCCGGGCAUGGCCACUGCCACGGGCAGGCUCCUGCCCCGCCGCUGCCGGCCCCGCAGGGCUCGGGCGCUGCGAGAGCUCCCACCAGGAGCCAGGCAGGCGAGCGGAAACCAACGCGGUAACGUCAAACUCCUGAACUUCCCUGUGCAGGAAACGGUGUAAAUAACACCCGCGGGGAGGGGGGAGGAACCCGGCGCGGGCCUCGGGACGGCGGCUCGGUGGCAGCAUGGCCCCUACCACCCAGAGCCAAAUGGCACCUGCAGCCACGAGGCCCCGGGGAGGAGCGAGCCCAGGUUCCCUCGCUCGCUGCCUCAGCAUGGCCGAGGCCGGCGCAGGGCUGGUCUGCGACGACACCUCUUGGCUCCACGGGUCUGCCCCUGCCCCUCUGAGCACGGCGGGAGGAGCGGAGGGCCGGGCGGGCAGGGGAGGAUGGGGCUGAGCCUCCCCCCAGCCCUGCCUCGCACCUGCGAAGCACCUCGCCAGCUCCACUUCUAGCUGUCGUUCUGCCCUUCCAUGGACCAACGACGACGCUGCCCGUCCAGGCAGCGCCUACGGCUCAAGAUGCUGGAGCAGCACCUCACCCGACCCACUUCUCCCCAAAGGGAGAGAGUUCCGGGUUAGCAGCCAGCCUCACUGAAGCCAACAAGCCACAGAGAUGAAUCCCACCCUUCACCACAAAGGUUAAGCCCUUCCAGUGCUGACCAAAACCAGACAAGAGGUUUUUAGAGCAAGGCAAGCACCUCGUGACCUUGUGCGAGAGCACCCGGCACGGCAAGACCCUUAGGAGCACGUGAAUCAAACACCCACUGGGAUUUCCACUUCUGUAGGUGAGGCAAGCGGUGAAAAUCAGGACUAUUCCCAGCACUUAGGAUGGGUAAGAGUUGCCAGUUACGAGCCCCAUCCCCUAAGGAUGCAGGGAACUGGAAAUGCCAAAACCUAGCACAGUUUUGAAGCUGCUACAGAUCUGGUAGGAAAAUCCUACAAGGAAGGUUGUUAAUUGAACAAGGCACUUUGUGGCAUAUUCAUGUGGGAUAAAUUUAAGCACUGGAGGCUGGACCUGCUAAACUUUAUCUAGUCAGUGGGGAGGGCAAUUUCUCUGCAGAGUAGUUUGGAGCAGAAACAUAAUGCCAACAUCUUGAAUUAUCCUGCAAAGAACCCAAAAAUCUUUAGGGUUUUUUUAAUAACCACUACUCCUCAGUGUCUGAUCCUCACUGCAUCCUUCUGCAAAGUAACCUAAGAUCUCCAGGUGAAAAUUGUUAUUGCUUAGUAAUUUGCUGUGAUUGAUUAGCCUUAUUAAAGUGGUCCUGAAAAGAAGCAUCAGCUGUAACAAACUCUCAAGUACCUGCCCAUCCUCACUUCUCAUAUGGGCUCAGGGAGGAGCCGUCUGACCUCAAAGGUAGGUUUGUGCACUUUGUAUUAACCUUGUAGUUUGGGAAUUUUGAAGGUAUUUGAGAGCUCCAGGUAUGGUUUGUUGCAGUAGGGUUUGGGAAGGCAAGGCUCGCUCGGAGCCCCUAGCUUUCACAUUGAAAGACUUUUGCAUUUUUCCUGCAUUACUCUGCUGGGAGACACGUCGAGGCAGCCUGCGGAGCAAAGGGCUAUAUCGCCCGCAGCCACAGAUCAAGAAAUGGUCACAUGCAGCAUAUCGGUUUGAAGCUAGGAGUGAGAAACAAUUUCAGCUGCCCUGGCACCACUGCUCUCUUCUAGAAAAAACCCUGACAAACUGAGGAACUUUAUUUUUAUCCUUAUUCUAAGUUAAAACUUAUUACGAACAAGGCGGGACAAGCUACAUCUGCAAGAUGAGGUGGUUUGCUUUUCCCAGUAAGAGGGCCCCCCGACCAGCUGGGCAGCACCUUUGUGGUGGGUCCUGAGAUAGAGCAGGAGGAUUAGGGAUGUGCGUGGGGCUGGGAUUGCUGGAGGCAUUAAUAGCCCCCACAAAACUGCAUAUAGCCUCUCGGCGCUAGUUGGUUAUUCAAUGUAUUUCAGCCAAAUGGGGGGUGGGGGUGCAUGGGGUGAAAGAUGGGAAUAAGAAGAAUAACGAAGAGGGUUUGUGUGCUUGGGAGGCUUAUUAGUGCAGAGCGGACGGUGUCUGACCACAUGAGCAAGGGAAGGCGAUCACGAACGCACAGGUUUUGCGGACCUGGGUUACUGACAGAGCUGAGACGGUUUGUGUUAGGAGAAGGAGGUGUGAAUGUGAUGAAAAUGCUGGAGCUUCACAAAGGGUAAGGGUGCUGAGCAGGGGGGAUAUUUCUGUAGCCUCCAGUCAGGGUUGUUGUGGGCUUAGUAAACUGGUGGUAGAUUAAGAUGUGGCUGUGAAAGGACUCCCUUCCACAGGACGGGUCACUCGCUGGUGAUGCUUUCUGCUUUCACGUGCUGCUGCUGUGGCAUCACCGGAGCUUUCAUUCAAGGCACACCCUUGAUAUUGCUCUUCAAGCUUCCAGUGUUGUGAAGAGCUUACUGCCUGGGCAACAACCAGUUGAAAACCAAGAGCAAAGGAUUGUUAAGGCACGUGGGCCCCUACUUCAGCCCCAGGAAACCCUUCCUCAGGGGUGAAUCAUGGAAUGAGGGAGUUGGUUCUCAUUCUUCCACACACAUAUACUUGCUGCCAAGGGUUGUCAUUUGAUAGUAGGUAGAGCAAAGCAUGCUGUCUGACUUCAGAUCAGCGCUGGGUGUGGAGAACAAGACUCCCAUUUCUGUUUGUGAUCAGGACUUGUGAAAAAGGGUCUGUGAUGCUGUCAUGGGUCUUGCAAGCCAAAGAAACCCAUCCUUUAGCUCUGUUUUUUUCCUACCACAUUGUACAGCGGUGGAAAUCAGCUGCUUAUCGUCAUGUGUUUGAGUUGGUGGACUUCCUCAACAUCAAAGCUUCCCCUCUGGCUGUUUGCUGGAGCCUCUUCAGGUCUUAUCCUUCUGGUCUGCUCCUAUCCCAGCAAGUCUGUACAAACGCAGCCCUGCUGCCAACCCUCACAUGCUCUCUCCUCCUUGUGCUGGCUGUUUUGCUUCUGGUUCAUGAAAUUUAGAGUGGAUAAAAAUGUGAGUUAAGAAGCAAAGGGGGGUUAUUCAUUUGCUGGUAAGAAGAACUUUCCUUGUGAAUGAGGAUAAAUGGUAUUAGCUUUUUUUCCCUUAGCUGGUGCAAGCUGUGGGUGAACCAAACUGCCUUCUCUGGGUAUUUGGAUGGAUUGUUUUCUUCUCCAGGUUUGUCCAGCUGUACCUUUCCUCACUGGGCCUGAGGACUCUCUUGGGAGUCUUUAGGACUCCUCUGCUUCUGUCUCAGGGGAAUUAUAUACAUAAGGCAGCAGCAGCAGCGACAAAAUAAUUUAGGAAGAAAAAACCCAGACUUCACAGCUGCGUUGCUGAGCUUGUGCAUCCAUUCUUAGUGAGUCACUUUGCCUGUUUCCUCCUUUGGGAGAUAGAUAGUCCCUACCUGGGAUGCUGAGAAGGUUAAUUAGUUAAUGUAUUAAUUAAGUGAAUGUACUUUGAACAACGGAAUUGCCUGAGGCAGUAGAUCCCAUGAAGGUCUGAGUCCAACGCUGGCUUUGACAAGGUUGGGCUCCCAGCUCUUACCAGCCGAGACACCUUGCCCUCAGCCAGAAAAGAAUUGAACUUACAUGCAUUACUCAUUCCGUUGCCACAGCACAUCUGAAGCACAAAUUGCCGGGGUCCAUCCAAGCUCUUUCCUGCCUGCUUCUCCCACCAAGGAUGAAGAUACGGCUGCCUCUCUUCUCACAAACACAGCUUUGGGGCUCCAGAGCAAGGAAACGGGAAAUCCAGGCUAGGGUUUUUGACAGCAUUGCUAGUCUUCUUGGUAUGUGCCCAGCCAUCUGGUUGUGACCCAUAUCCCACCUCGCUCUGGGGGACUGCGCGCACCCGAGGCAGUUUCUCUUCUCUCCUCAAGAAGAUGGGUGGUGGUAGAGAACACUCUGCCUGCUGAAGUGAGAGGCAGCUUCGCUUUCCACCCCGCUGGGACCCAUCCCAAACUGGAUUUGGAGCUGCAGCUGCAAUGAAUCCUGCAAGUCAAACCCUUUUAGACUUUGGCCAGUCCUGAGCUCAUCCAAAGGCUGUUUCAUGCAGCUUCAAGCACCUUAUGUGUCUGUGGAGGCAACUGAACAGUAAAGUCAAACCCUGUAGCAGAGGCUAUGACCUAGUUCUGAAAGGAUCCAACAAAGACGUAACGGCCAGAGCUGAUGGGGGUUGUUUGCCUUGCUCGGGCAUGAAUGCAGCAACCCAUCCAGACCCUGUGCUUCAUCAGGGUGCCAAAAGUUGCCCCUUAAGAAUGUGAGACUGUUCCCUGGUCAUCCUGUGUGGGCUAGAUGGAAGACAAAUUGUGACAAUUUUGACCGCUCAGAAAACUGAGAUGGAGUUUGAUUUCCAAAUGUGAAACAAAAUUCUCCUCCCGCAUCAGUUCUGCAAGCUCUGAAACUCUCCGGGUUCAGCUGGGUUCCUCCCCAGCUGGAAAGGAAAGCGCAAGGCAACGUCACAGCUAUUUCUUCUGUCUCACAUGUAUACAAUGCAAAGACCUAAUCUUUAGAAGCUGAAAAUCAUAAUUAGGCAGGCAAGAACCUACAGUCUGAAAAAUGCAUCCCUCUUUCUAGCCUAGCCUGAGGUGUGUAUUGUAUUAGGCUCUUAAAGGGCUGAGUUUUCAGAGUUGCAUUUUCAGAAAUGAACUGCUGCCGAAAGCAGACCCCCUGAAAUAAGCAAGAUUAGCAAAUGUUCCCAUCUCCAGCAGUUCUGACGAUGCCACCAGCAGACAGAUUUUCAUCACCCUUUUGGCUGAGCCCUUCUGGAACUGUGUACAUAUUUUUCCACAGGCUGAGCUCUUUACAAAACACCCCUUUUUCCAACACAGAAACUAUACAGAUUCCUAAUUGCAGCCAAGUUUGACCACAGAUACCAUCACACAGAUCCAUCUCUUUUCCCUCUUUGUUGAUGCAAAAAUGCCUUGGAGAAAUAAUAGCAAUAUGUCUUUGCUAACUGAUGGUGUUGUGUUGGCUUUGACCCAUCAGUUGAUUGGCCAUCCUCAACUGUCAUUUCCUAAACCCAAUGUUUUUCUGCUUGUUUAUCUUCCCUGGCCUUGUUUGCACACAGCCACCACCCAAAAACCUCGCUCUGUCCAGGGAGUAGGAUUUAUCACUUCUGUUUCAGUAGCAGCAGAACACAGAACAAUGUAGGGCCUAUGCAAACAAGUACUGCUGUUUUCUUUUGCUUUUCAUUUAUUCCUCAGCGGUAAAUCAGUGCAUUCCAAACCAAACAAAAAUCGGAAGAUUUAGGACCCGAAGAGCAGUCCAGAGCAAUAUAAUAGGGGUUGAAGACAGGUUGCAUUUAGAAGUUAAGCAACAAGUAGCCCUUGACAGGAAAUGAAAUAUUUAAUCUGUGAUGCGUACCUCAAAUUGUUUCUGGCCGCUAAUGAUGUUUUGGCACUCUGCAAAUGGCAGGAGCUCAGGUGCCUGGGUCACUUAACGCUACACACAGGAGAGAUCUGGGCUGAGCACAUAAACUGCUCCAGGCAGGGACCAUCUUUAUCUACUAAGGACAGCACUUAGUAGAAUGGAUCCCUCAAGACAUUCCCACAACCAAAUGUGACACCAGUAAGAGCUAAUAUAAGCGCAGUCUGACACAGUUGGAACAUACAGGACACCAGGACUGGGAAUUACAACCCUUCGAUUUUGUCCUGACUCUGUCACCAAGCUUUGACCUUUCAGAAGACCCUAAAGGACCGUGCAAGCUUGAGCUGCGGCAUUAUGAAAAAGAAUUGAUCCACACACCAGCUCCUCCUUUGACUUCGUUUCAGCCCAAGCCAGGCACAUCGGCCUGGCAUUUGCAAGCCAGUGCAGGGCUGCCAUGUGUUUUUUGCACAGAUGGACAAGACUGCCGAGGAAAAGAUAGUGGAACAAAUCCUGAGGAUCCUGCACGAGCACCUACCAACUCCAACCAGUGUUCUUACAGAGCCGGACUGAAAGCCCAGUCCCUUCCGUGGCCACGUGGGGACUGUAUAGCCUGUACUCAAGGUCCCACAUGAUGAACAAGACUUGACAAGCCUGGCAGCAAAACAUAAUCCACCUUUACCUGCUUGCAGUAAAGUUGAGCUCGGAUGAGCAGGCAGCGCCUGGAAAGCUGAGCUGAUCGGUGCGUUACAAAGAUCCCUUUGAACUUCUGUUCAAAGCCCUUUGGAAAAGACACCUGCCUGCCUUCCAAAGAGGCUUUUCCUGGGGUUGAUGCUGCUGUUUGCAGCAAUCCUGGCCGGUUUGUUGUCUGCAGCUCUCCCGGGGCUCCCUCCAGCCUGACCUACGCUGCUGAGCCCGGCGGGGAGAGGGAGCAGACGCCAUCACGGCAUCCACAGCUCAGAGCAAGCCUUGUUCUCAGCCUGCCUGAAGUGGCCGUGGCAGACGUGGAUAAAAACAGUACCCGGGAGGCAUCUGCCUGCAACGGGGCAUGCACUGUUGAUGCGCAAGGAUGAACAGAUGGGUUGAUUACACAGGGAGAAAUGGACACUAAUCGUAUCCAGAUCCACCAGCUGCAGGAUUUCCUCCUGAGUGCUAAAGUACAGGAAGCCCUUACCUGCUUCGUUAUCCUGUCUCUGUUCAUUAGCCCUUCCCCCGCCCUGGGAACCACAUCUCAGCUAAUCCCCUGGGCAGGGGAGGGCCCAGGCUGCAAAGCUGAGAUCCAGAUGGGAACUCCACAGUGCUCAGGCACGGCUGGAUCCAGCCCCAGGUCAGGCCCUAUCCUGGCUGUCAGCUCCAGCCCAGCCAGGCUCCGCCGGCUCAAGUUUCCCUACUCUGGGAGCUCGUGGCCGGACUCUCUUUUGCCGCCGCCUCUCUGAACAGCUGGGAAGAUUUUGGGACUAAGGAGAGAGAGUUGUGCAACAAAGACAAGCGCUGGGGCUCGGCACAUCGUGCACCUCCACGUCUCUGCUGGGAUGCAGCCGCUUCUGGGGUGGAGCCCCGUGUGUGUCGAACAGCUGGGGAGCAAAGGAGCUUUUGCAGAUUUAAAACAGCAGAGGUGAUCCCCCAGCAGGCUGUAGGACGACUGGCUGGGCUGAACUGGGAGGUGACGUUGGGGACCUUAUCUGUAUUCUUAUUUCUGGGAGACUGAAACAUGAGGUUUCAUCACCUGCUUGGCUUUUGUGCAGUGCCAGCUUGGAGAAAGGAGCGAGACCCUCCUAGACCCCUUUAUCCUCUGUGUACCCAGCUCUCUUUGGCCGCAGCGAUGUGCUCCCAAGGCAGCGCAGCUGGAGGGACGAUCCCCGGCGUCCUCCCUGUGGGGCUGCUCAGCUCUUAGCCCAAUCCUUCUCCCACACUGUGUAGAAAUUCAAGCUGUCAAGGACGCUGGUAUCGGCACCCACCCUGACUGUUGGUGGAGUCUCCACGUGAGGACCACAGCCUGCUUGACAGAUGUUAUAACCCGAACUGUUGCUCUGAGUUGGGCUUUUUGGGACCCUCUCCUCGCACACCCAGGGUGCCUCCACUCCUGGCUCUCGGGCUUCUGUUGUCAAACUCGGUGCAAGUAAAUUAGCUGGCUCCCAUUCUGCUGCCGGCUCCUAAGCCAUCCUGGCUCCACACGCUGGGAUGCCACGUGCCGCCCCGGUGACCUCCGUUCCCCUCGGCAGAGCCGGUGCCCAGUGCCGAGCAAGCCAAGACUGCAGGAGAGGAGAACCACUCCCUGAAUUCUUGGUGUUACUCCCAGAACCUCCCUGCCCAGCCGAAGCUGCUUCAGGUCCCUACGCCUGGCACUAAAAUAUCAGCACGGGCCAUCCCACAAAUUCAAUCCAGACCCUGGAGGUCCUGACUGAACUGUUGACCAAGUCAAAGGUGGCUGUGGCUGCCCCACGGAGCCCUCGGGCUGGGAGGAGGAGGAGGCAGCACAGCGCUUGCCAUGGACUUGCAUGUGAGGAGAAACCUCCUGCCUGGUCCUGCAUAGGCCAGGGCUGCUCUGGGAUGCACAGCCAUCUCCCUUUGGCUGGUCCUCAGUCCCCAAGCCCAGGACAGUGAAGCUGAUGUGCUGGCAGCAGCCACAGGACAGAACAGCACUGGUGGGAAUGAGCCGGAGAGGUGCUUGCAAAGCCACCACCACCCCAGUCUGGCUACGGUCCUCCUGAAACCACUGGCUGUCACACACCGGGCAAUAUUUAAUCAUCAUCAUCAUCACGAUAAUGUAAUACAUACCUCUUAGACUCCACAGACCUCACUUUAUGCAGCAUGUACCCUUUUCUGGGCUACUUCUUUUACAUUUUCUGUGGCCAGGACUACCUCGUGAGCGACCCUAGUGUGCCAAACCCCGCACACAUUAGCCCUGCGUACCUAUCUCAUGGGCUUUCCAACUGCAAAGCCAGACAGCACAGCUCAGUGCCCAUGAGCAACCCUACAAUAACAAACCGGCCGCCUCGCUUUGUCCUCCCAGUCCUCACCUUUCGCAGCAGCCAAGUAACAUCAAAGAUAAACAGUAGCUACGAGCAACUCCACAAUAACAAGCCGGUACCACAGAAAAAAAGUGGAGGGAAAUUAAGGAAUGAAAGAGGUGGUGGAGAAAGGAAGAAGAAAACAAACAAACAAAAAAAACCCAACCAAACACAAAAAACCUUCAGGAAGGAAAACAAAUGAUAUUGAGUUCUUCUGAGGACCACUUCUGGGAUGGUGAAUCAGAUCUGGGUACCUCUGGCCACUGCAUGUACCCCAUGGUGCAUGAAGCUGCUAGCAUCGGCUCUCCCUUGGAUGUGUUCCUACAAGGAUCCUGUUAAAUUUGUGCCCCAAAAUUGGAACAAUUAGUGGAAAGGCUGAGGAUGGAGCCCACAAAGGCUAAAUUCAAUCUCCCUGCCUUUUUAUCCCCUCUUUCCCCACUAGAAGUGGCCACUGGAGUGGUGAAGCUAAUGACAUGGAUGGUCCAGCAUGGGGGAAGCUGGUCGCCUCGGGUCUGGCCUGUGGAGACACAAAGCCCAGCAUUUUCUACAACUGUAAAUUAGGCGAUUUUCACCAGUGCGAGUUUUGCUCUGAGUUUUCUAUGUUUGUUUGGGUUUUUUUUUUUUUAAAAAAAAAAAAAAAAAGCAAAAAGGAAAUCACAAUCCAAACUCUGCCUUGGCCAAACAUGGCCCUUUUAAGGAAAGGAAAUUUCCCAGAGCCACCCUCAACAAACCUGGAGGCCCGAUCCUGCUCUCAGGAAUGCCAGUGCAAAUCCAGAGUGGCUCUGCUGACUGCUGGGGGGGCUACAGCAGCUGGGUGAGGCUCGAGCCAUGGAGAAAAGCCCCUGACCCCCCGCCUGGAGAUGGAGCAGAGCUCUCACCAGAGCAGCCCGAGAGCAAACUCGGGAUUCAAAGGCAAUGAACAGCAGAAAGAUCCAACUCCCAAUUUCAAGAAUUUGUCCUUUUUUGCUCAGCCAUGUUCUAGAAGCACAAGCCCUAUUUUGCUGUGAGCUGUGUGGAAUAAAACAGCUGCGUCCCUUGGCUGGAUGGCUCUUCUAGGGGUGCCAGAUGUUUUGCUUAGGACACGUCAGAAGUGUCUUGCUUGAGUUCAGACUUUCUCUCCUCUCGGGCUGCCCGCUGCAAAGCCCACUGGAGCUUCAGUGUUUUGUUGUUUGGUUUUUUUUUUUUAUAUCCAUCCUCUACCAGCUUUUCCCAGGGAAGCAACAGGGACUGGGAGCGAACUAGAAAAGGUCUGGUGUCACCCCAGCCCCCGUCUGUAUAAAUAAACUGUAAGGAGAAAGCUGGAGUGAGGUGCAAAACACUUGUGCUGCCUUCUCACUGGCACAAAGGGUCUGGCUGUAGAGCCGGGUGUAAUCACGCUCCGCUGAAGAGGGCAUCCCAACACAUUUGGGGGGGUCAGACCCCAUGAAUGACCGCCUGCCGCCAGCUCCCACAGCAUGGGAAUUUUGGCUUCCAAACCAACGGGGGAGAAGGGUAUUGUGAACCCCCCGUAUGGCUGCGCCGAAUGGCAUGCCAGCGAGCGGCAAGCUUCAGAGCCAGACCCCGGCAUCCCGGCCACCAAACCUGGGUACCCGAGACCACCCAGCUCGCUGCAGGGCCGUGGAGAUGCACAACGCUCAGGACAGCAUCUCUAAGAGGCAAGGGGCAGGUGAGGCAAUUUUGGGGGUGUCCCUGGAGCAGGGCCGAGACAGCCAGCGCGGGCUGGUGGGUCACAGAGGCAAAGUAGCGCUGGGGCAUUGGGGUGCAUUGUGGCCGGUUCAAAGGCUUUACUGUAGGGUCACGCAUUGCUCGCUGGAAGAGGGUUUUUUUUUUCCGAGAAGGGAGAAGGAGGGGGAACGCUGGGGUGGGGGGUGGGAAGUGGAGGAAAAAUUUGGUGAAGGAGGAGGGGCAGCUCUCAUGGCUCCCAAGCACUUGCGAAGUGCACGGCGGCUGGGAAGAAGGACCCUGCCCUGCAAACAAGCUGCUUUUGUUGUGUCCCAAACGGGCCUAAAUUAAGUUUGACAGAAAGAGGGCAGAUGCGCCAGGGCCAAACCCCUGGGCUCGGUUAUGGCCGGGCAGAGCCCGAGAGCUUCGGCGCGGCAGUGCCAAAUCUCGGCCGGGUGUGAGGGGAGAGGCGCGAACCUCCACGAGGCAGGAGGUGCCGGGCGGCCGCGAGCAGCCCCAUUAAUCAUCCCGAUGCCUUCGCAAGGCAGCUUCCUCCCAGGAACGCCUGGCUCAGUCCGUGUCCAAAUCCUAAAGGCCGCCAUCGCUCUGAGAAGAGCUGCCGCCGGCGCGUUCCCUCAGCCGGCUUCGCCCACGGGGGCCAGCAGAGCCCCCCACCCUGCUCCUGGGCAUCUCCCCAGCCCUGCCGCCCGCCCUGGCACGCCGUGCCAGCGUGGAAAACGAGCCAGCUUCUAAACAGUUAACGCUGACAAAACGCUUGAGUUCCCUCCUUCCCGAAUCCUCCUGGUGUAAUUCACCCCCCCAAAAUGAAAUAAAAUUAUCCUCCUCCUCUGACCUCACCCGGGCAUCCUCCCUCCCUCCCUCCCAUCCUCCCUCUCCCUCCUUCCACCCUUCCCGUGCCCCCACCCUGCACUGGCACGGCCGGCUGGGAGCACGCGUGCCCGCCGCUCUGCUCGGAGCUCCCACCACGUUAGCUGCGGCUGCCAUGUUGAAUUGCAAAUCCGACAUGAUUCGACAUAUUUUUUCCUACCUCGGUGGUGCCCGGUGGGGAACUAAAGAAGCACCCGCACGACACGCACCCAGCCCUGGGUGGCUCUCGGGGACGUCCCGGGUGGCCGUGUGAGGGCAGGGAGAGAAACCACCCUCCUAGUUCUCCUCCAAACGCCCUGUACGUAGGGUCCUGCCUAUCUGCUAUACAUCCCUCUCUAUAGGAGACCGAUUUUAAAGUCGGAUGUUUUAGCACCAAGGGCCGGAGGACUCGACAGGAAAGGGUUUCGGGGAGAAGGCAGGUUACAGCAACAACAAAGCGACUGAGCAACUGGAGGAACAAAACAUUAUUUCAAAUCAAAGGCAAAAAAAAAAAAAACCAAAAAAAAAACCCAACCGCACGAACAAAAAAAGGAGAAAAAAAAAAAAAGAAAAAAAAAAAAGACACCCAAAAUUAAGAGUGAGGUUCGAUUUCGUACCAAGGCAGCAAGAGAGACGCACCGUGGAAGAGAGUGGUUUUGUUGUUGAGUGGUGGCUGGAUUUAGCUCCGCUUAUCCGGACAAUCAUCGGGGAAGGAUCCUUUUCCGAGAAAGGCCAGUUUGAGUGAGACAGCUUUUUUUUUUCCCUUCUCUCGCUCGCUCUCUCCCCUUUCCUUCUCCUCGCAGCUCAACGCCAAGAAAUGGGCGGUGCCUAGAUGCCAGGCUCCAUCCGAACGAGACACCCAAGGCCAACGGAGGCUGGCACAAAGGCGAGCUGGCAGGAAUUCCUGCACUCGGAGCCGCGCACCCGCGGGACGAGCUGCCACCUCCCAAAAAAUCAACCUCCGACACCGCCCGCUCCGGGAAGUUGUCCCGUUGGGCUUGAAAAUGCCCCACCAGGCUCAAGCACGGGGAGGGGGCGGGGGGGAAAAGGACAAGGGGAAGCAAAAAAAUAUAAAGCCAAAGCCAAGACCUUCAUUUGCACCAAUGCAGGUUAAACAAAAGGCCUGGGGAGGUGGAUUUUUCUUUUUUCCGGCCCCCCAGGCUCCUUCUCCCGCCUGCUCGUCCCCCUCCUCCCUCCUCACACCCUCCAUCACCGGCUCCCUCGCCCACUGCCCCAACGUCCAGGCAGAAACGAGCCCUGGGCUCCCUCCUUCCUGGUUUUAGCACGACAGGAGGCGGCGGGUCCUUGAAUAGGAACACACACCCAACGCGAGAGGCAUCCGAUGGGGGGGAAGGAAAAAAAAAGGACAAAAAAAAAAAAUACAUAUAUAUACACACAAACAACAACCCACCCGCCAUGGAGGAAGGUUGGGAGCAGUCGCCGCCAAGGGUGGCGGAUUAGGGGUGGUUUGGGUGCCAGGGGGUAUUUUUGGCCUUUUUUUUUUUUUUGCUGUCCAAGCACCUGGGUUGUGCCGCUUGUAAAAGGGGAGUCGCAACGGGUUGGGGAAGGGACCAGGGAGAGGAGGGGGGGCGGGGGUGGCCGGGGUUGGUAGCGCUGCUGGGGAGAUGCCAAAAAAACAAAACAAAACACGUUUUCAUUUUGUCUGCACCAGCCUGGGCGCAGGCGAGCGCGGGAGAGAGGGAGGGAGAGGGAGGCGCACGCCAGAAAGCCGCCGCGCUCAGACGCGGGCCUGCGGCCACGUCCCUCCACAGCCGCCCCGGCAGCCGCUCCCGCUCCCUCGUCCCCCUCUCCCUGCCCACCCGGCUUCGCCUGCCAAGUCCGAGUUGGCACGGCUCCCCCGGCUGCGCCGAACAAAGCCGUCACCCAUCCCCGAGCCAGCGCUGACAGUAAGCAAAGUGACAGGCGCAUCUUCCGCAUGUUAAUCCAAACAGCGAGAAGGCGAACGAGCAGCGGAGGCCCCCCCCUUACCAUGCAUGCACACCCCCCCGCCGCCACCGCCGGCCCACGCACCCCACCCUUGGCACCCAUCGGCCUCGUGCGGGGAUGGCGAGGCCCCCGCCGGCGGGAGCACCGAAGCCUCCCUGUCGGCGAGGUUUAAAUCGAGCCGAAGCCCCGCUCGGCGGGCAAACGAGGCCACUCGGCAUCUGCUGUACCUGUUCCCGCUGCCUUCAUCUCGCCUUGGAACCGUGACAAGAGCGCACUCGCCUCUGGUGGGCUCUCAAAGCCGCGGGUCUGUAACCCUUUGCAGGAAGUUGGCACCGAUCCCAGAUUUUUGCCCGGCAGCCCAAACCCAACGCGAAGGGAAAGGGGGGGAAGAGAAAUCAAAUGGGAAGAGAAUAGCUCCAAGUCGGCAGGACAGUGCACGGGAAACGGGGAGAUUAGCGUAGCUCUCAAAAUCCAUCGUGCCCGCCCCGUUUCUGAACCGUUCGCCCCCGCGCCUCGUCUUUUUUAAUUCUCCCAGCUCCUGAAUUAUUCCAGUCCACGAGCGGGAGGGGAGCGCACAGUCCGGAGUCCCUCGGAGCUGCCAAGAGCAUUGCAACAGGAAAGAAAGAAAGCGAGAGAGGGAGAGCCAGGCAGAGCCCUCACAAUCGAGCAGCGAGAAGAGCAAGGAGAAAUUAACAUCCAAUUAGUGCCGUGUUUAACGAGGGAGACAGAGGCGGCUGUUGUUUUAUUGCCCUGUUCUUUUCAGGCGCAUCUGACAGGCAGCAGGGAAGGCACCCCUGCUCCAAGUGACGUCAUCAUAUUUUAUUUUUUAAUUAUUUUUUCCCCCCCUUUUUCCCCCCGUCUUUCCUCCUCCAAGUUUCGCAGAGACAAUCUCGGCAACUCGGCCAGGGAAAUUCGGGACUUUCUCGCAUUCGAGCCACCGGUUCCCCCUCCGCCUCCGGCCUCCUUCCCCGCCCCGUCCACCGACACCAACCCCGGAAAAACAAACACGCCAACCCACCCCAAAGUCUUUGUUCUUCCAAAAAAAAAAAAAAAAAGGAGGAGGAAAAAAAAAAAAUAAUAAACGUUGGGAUCACAGAG